rnacentral:rRNA from 1 species
CAGCCGCCGCGGUAAUACGUAGGGUGCAAGCGUUAAUCGGAAUUACUGGGCGUAAAGCGUGCGCAGGCGGUUUGUUAAGACAGAUGUGAAAUCCCCGGGCUCAACCUGGGAACUGCAUUUGUGACUGGCAAGCUAGAGUCUUGUAGAGGGGGGUAGAAUUCCAGGUGUAGCGGUGAAAUGCGUAGAGAUCGGGAGGAACAUCAGUGGCGAAGGCGGCCAUCUGGGACAACACUGACGCUGGAGCACGAAAGCGUGGGGAGCAAACAGGAUUAGAUACCCGCGUAGUCCCUGUCUCUUAUAC